rnacentral:rRNA from 1 species
AUUGAACGCUGGCGGCAGGCCUAACACAUGCAAGUCGAACGGUAACAGGAAGCAGCUUGCUGCUUCGCUGACGAGUGGCGGACGGGUGAGUAAUGUCUGGGAAGCUGCCUGAUGGAGGGGGAUAACUACUGGAAACGGUAGCUAAUACCGCAUAAUGUCGCAAGACCAAAGAGGGGGACCUUCUGGCCUCUUGCCAUCGGAUGUGCCCAGAUGGGAUUAGCUUGUUGGUGGGGUAACGGCUCACCAAGGCGACGAUCCCUAGCUGGUCUGAGAGGAUGACCAGCCACACUGGAACUGAGACACGGUCCAGACUCCUACGGGAGGCAGCAGUGGGGAAUAUUGCACAAUGGGCGCAAGCCUGAUGCAGCCAUGCCGCGUGUAUGAAGAAGGCCUUCGGGUUGUAAAGUACUUUCAGCGGGGAGGAAGGGAGUAAAGUUAAUACCUUUGCUCAUUGACGUUACCCGCAGAAGAAGCACCGGCUAACUCCGUG